rnacentral:rRNA from 1 species
UACGUAGGGGGCAAGCGUUGUCCGGAAUUAUUGGGCGUAAAGAGCGCGUAGGCGGUCCGAUAAGUCGGCUGUGAAAGUCAGGGGCUCAACCCUUGGAAGCCGGCCGAUACUGUCGGACUAGAGUCCGGAAGAGGCGAGUGGAAUUCCCGGUGUAGAGGUGAAAUUCGUAGAUAUUCGGAAGAACACCAGUGGCGAAGGCGGCUCACUGGACUGGUAUUGACGCUGAGGUGCGAAAGCGUGGGGAGCAAACAGG